rnacentral:rRNA from 1 species
GAUGAACGCUGGCGGCGUGCCUAAUACAUGCAAGUCGAGCGAACAGAUGAGGAGCUUGCUUCUCUGACGUUAGCGGCGGACGGGUGAGUAACACGUGGAUAACCUACCUAUAAGACUGGGAUAACUUCGGGAAACCGGAGCUAAUACCGGAUAAUAUAUUGAACCGCAUGGUUCAAUAGUGAAAGACGGUUUUGCUGUCACUUAUAGAUGGAUCCGCGCCGCAUUAGCUAGUUGGUAAGGUAACGGCUUACCAAGGCAACGAUGCGUAGCCGACCUCAGAGGGUGAUCGGCCACACUGGAACUGAGACACGGUCCAGACUCCUACGGGAGGCAGCAGUAGGGAAUCUUCCGCAAUGGGCGAAAGCCUGACGGAGCAACGCCGCGUGAGUGAUGAAGGUCUUCGGAUCGUAAAACUCUGUUAUUAGGGAAGAACAAAUGUGUAAGUAACUAUGCACGUCUUGACGGUACCUAAUCAGAAAGCCACGGCUAACUACGUG